CCGUGUUGCUGUAGCGCUCUGCUAGCUACCUUAACAUACUAAAGGGCAACCGUCCCGAUCAGCAAUAAGUAGCCAAACUACCAAGUAGGGAAUGCCUCGUUCCCUAAAAUAUGCUGUUAUGGGAGCGUUUUGAAGAGCAAUUAAAUCUCUUCAAUCCACUUAUGGCGUAUUUUCAGAAAACAUCUUGAAGGGCCGUAAUAGGGAUAUGUGGGAAUAUAUCUCUGUGAUCUAUAUACAACAUGAAAUUCCUUGCUGAAGAAUCAGAGUUACAGAGAGGAACCAAUUAAUUUAAAUUUAUAACUGGUUUAAAGGAAUGAUCAGAGGUUGAUAACCAGGAGAU